CCUACGGGUGGCAGCAGUGAGGAAUAUUGGUCAAUGGACGAGAGUCUGAACCAGCCAAGUAGCGUGAAGGAUGACUGCCCUAUGGGUUGUAAACUUCUUUUAUAUGGGAAUAAAAUGAGGCACGUGUGCCUUUUUGUAUGUACUAUAUGAAUAAGCAUCGGCUAACUCCGUGCCAGCAGCCGCGGUAAUACGGAGGAUGCGAGCGUUAUCCGGAUUUAUUGGGUUUAAAGGGUGCGUAGAUGGGUUGUUAAGUCAGUUGUGAAAGUUUGUGGCUCAACCGUAAAAUUGCAGUUGAUACUGGUAGUCUUGAGUACAGUUGAGGUAGGCGGAAUGCGUGGUGUAGCGGUGAAAUGCUUAGAUAUCACGAAGAACCCCGAUUGCGAAGGCAGCUUACUAAACUGUGACUGACAUUGAUGCUCGAAAGUGUGGGUAUCAAACAGGAUUAGAUACCCCUGUAGUC
rnacentral:rRNA from 1 species